AAANUUAGCAUAUCAAUAAGCGGAGGAAAAGAAACCAACAGGGAUUGCCCCUAGUAACGGCGAGUGAAAGCGGCAUCAGCUCAAAUUUGAAAUCUGGCUCUUUCAGAGUCCGAGUUGUAAUUUGCAGAGGGCGCUUUGGCGUUGGCAGCGGUCCAAGUUCCUUGGAACAGGACGUCACAGAGGGUGAGAAUCCCGUACGUGGUCGCUGGCCUUCACCGUGUAAAGCCCCUUCGACGAGUCGAGUUGUUUGGGAAUGCAGCUCUAAAUGGGAGGUAAAUUUCUUCUAAAGCUAAAUACUGGCCAGAGACCGAUAGCGCACAAGUAGAGUGAUCGAAAGAUGAAAAGCACUUUGGAAAGAGAGUCAAAUAGCACGUGAAAUUGUUGAAAGGGAAGCGCUUGCAGCCAGACUUGCCUGUAGUUGCUCAUCCGGGCUUUUGCCCGGUGCACUCUUCUACUGGCAGGCCAGCAUCAGUUUGGGCGGUUGGAUAAAGGCCUCUGUCAUGUACCUCCUUUCGGGGAGGCCUUAUAGGGGAGGCGACAUGCAACCAGCCUGGACUGAGGUCCGCGCAUCUGCUAGGAUGCUGGCGUAAUGGCUGUAAGCGGCCCGUCUUGAAACACGGACCAAGGAGUCUAACAUCUAUGCGAGUGUUUGGGUGUCAAGCCCGAGCGCGCAAUGAAAGUGAACGGAGGUGGGAUCCCUUAAGGGUGCACCAUCGACCGAUCCUGAUGUCUUCGGAUGGAUUUGAGUAAGAGCAUGGCUGUUGGGACCCGAAAGAUGGUGAACUAUGCUUGAAUAGGGUGAAGCCAGAGGAAACUCUGGUGGAGGCUCGCAGCGGUUCUGA
rnacentral:rRNA from 1 species